rnacentral:rRNA from 1 species
CCUACGGGAGGCAGCAGUGGGGAAUAUUGCACAAUGGGGGAAACCCUGAUGCAGCGACGCCGCGUGAGUGAAGAAGUAUUUCGGUACGUAAAGCUCUAUCAGCAGGGAAGAAAAUGACGGUACCUGACUAAGAAGCACCGUCUAACUACGUGCCAGCAGCCGCGGUAAUACGUAGGGGGCAAGCGUUAGCCGGAUUUACUUGGUGUAAAGGGAGCGUAGACGGCAGCGCAAGUCUGGAGUGAAAUCCCAUGGCUUAACCAUGGAACUGCUUUGGAAACUGUGCAGCUAGAGUGCAGGAGAGGUAAGCGGAAUUCCUAGUGUAGCGGUGAAAUGCGUAGAUAUUAGGCGGAACACCAGUGGCGAAGGCGGCUUACUGGACUGUAACUGACGUUGAGGCUCGAAAGCGUGGGGAGCAAACAGGAUUAGAUACCCUAGUAGUC